AGGAUAAACGCUGGCGGCGUGCCUAACACAUGCAAGUCGAACGUCCUUUCCCGCAAGGGGAAGGGAGUGGCGGACGGGUGAGUAUCACGUGGGUUAUCUGCCUUUAGGUGAGGAAUACCGGCGAGAAAUCGCCGACAAUACCGCAUAUCUUUCGUAAGAAAGAAAGCCUCGUAAGAGGUGCCUGAGGAGGAGCCUGCGCCCGAUUAGUUGGUUGGUGGGGUAAUGGCCUACCAAGACGACGACGGGUAG
rnacentral:rRNA from 1 species